rnacentral:rRNA from 1 species
AGCGAACGCUGGCGGCAGGCUUAACACAUGCAAGUCGAGCGGGCGUAGCAAUACGUCAGCGGCAGACGGGUGAGUAACGCGUGGGAACGUACCUUUUGGUUCGGAACAACACAGGGAAACUUGUGCUAAUACCGGAUAAGCCCUUACGGGGAAAGAUUUAUCGCCGAAAGAUCGGCCCGCGUCUGAUUAGCUAGUUGGUGAGGUAACGGCUCACCAAGGCGACGAUCAGUAGCUGGUCUGAGAGGAUGAUCAGCCACAUUGGGACUGAGACACGGCCCAAACUCCUACGGGAGGCAGCAGUGGGGAAUAUUGGACAAUGGGGGCAACCCUGAUCCAGCCAUGCCGCGUGAGUGAUGAAGGCCCUAGGGUUUUAAAGCUCUUUUGUGCGGGAAGAUAAUGACGGUACCGCAAGAAUAAGCCCCGGCUAACUUCGUG